rnacentral:lncRNA from 1 species
AUAGUUGAAGAUUUUUGUUGUUACAUAGUUGAAGUGUUUAAUUUGUCUACUUAGGGCAUGUUUGUUUUGGUGUAAGUGGAGUGAUGGAACUCAAGUUCCAUCACUUCCGUUAUUUAUUUUGGUGUAAGUAAAAAAUAUAAUGUAACUCAAGUUACGUUAGACUUCCACUUCACCUACUCUCAACUUCCUCCUCUAAAGUGCCGAACUAGACUUCCACCACACUCAACCUCCUCUAAAAUAUUUAUUAAACAGUAAAACCUAAACUCUACUUCCCUUAUAAUAGAUUAGAAUUACCUUAUUAUAAUAAAUUAGAAUUAUCUUUAAAUAAUAAUAAAAAAAUUAAUUAUAUAAUAAGUUAAAUUUUAUAGCAGUAAAUUUACUAUUAUAUUUAGGAGAUAAUGGGAUCCACUUACUUACAUCAAAACAAACAACGGAACUCACAAAAUUAAUUUCACCAGCACCAAGUUACAUCAAAACAAAAAAAAAAAGUAAUUGAAUUUAACUUUCAGGCUAUACGAGUUACGUCAAAACAAACAACCAAAAAAUAAUCACACUUCAGAAAAACUCAAACACCACUGCACUUGACUUACGUUGGAUUUACAGAUUCGUCAAUCCAAACGGACCCUUAGUGCAAAUUUUACAUAUUUUUUGUUUAAAUUUAUAGUUAAUUAUUCAAACUAAU